rnacentral:lncRNA from 1 species
UUUAAUCCAAGUUUCUCCAUGUGAAUAGGGCAAUCCGAAAGCAAGAAAGAAAAGAAGGAAGCUGACAAUUCUGGCUGCCAUGGAAGAAAGCAACCUUAACUAUGAAACUUCAUAGACAUUAAAUAGCACCAUCUGAACCAAAACACAGGUCUUACAAAAUUUGUUGGCUGUGGACUGUAGCGUACUACUGUUAGUCGUUGAAGACUUUUAGGGAACCCUGUAGGUACGGACGCCCUGUAGGAGUGACGCUGGGAUUGAUAGACUAAGAGGAGAGACCAAAAAUCCUAUAUUUUUCAUGGGAGAAUUGAUGGAAAAUAUGAGUCAUACUCGGCUGUAUGACGUUGCAUUGGCCCACCAACCGCCCUAAUUGCGUUGGCCCUUGGAAUAUUGGAAGCCGAUCUGCCACGUGGAGACUGGAGUCUGGGGUAGCGAUUUGGAGUGUGACCCAGAGACGUAACCUUGUUUCACAAUGUAAAUUCAGUGAAAAUUUUCAUCUCCUACCAUGUUCUUAGUGAUUAAUUUUAACCAUCAGAAUUUUCCAAUUCCUUUUGGAAUAUCGUAAAAGGUUUUUUCAUUUCAUAUGGGAAAAUUAUAAGGUUGGAAUACGUUUUUUUUUUUUUUCAAAUUUGCUGAAGAUGUCAAUAAAGGCCAAUUUUUGUUUUUUUUCCAAUUUGCCUCUCUCGUUAGGGGCCACAUGGCAGCAGGCGAGAGGGCGGAGAGAGCCAGCUAGUACCGUCGAAUUUGGGCCGGUCAUUGCCCCACCAUUGGGCUAAAGCCCCUGACAAUGACAACUCGUAUUUGUUUCAAGGCUACCCCUGAACUAACCUGCUGGCACCGCCACCGAUGGCGGAGACCCCCCCUUCCAACCCCACCUACAAUUCUGACAUUUUCCUCGUGUCAAACUCAAAAACACCGUUCCAUCAUUCUCAAAAACCCCGUUUUGCAUUUCACAUGACUGUAAACAACCAAAUAUAUUCCAACGGUUCAACCCUCUUUCUCUCUCGGGGACUGAUAUAAGAUCAUGGAUUGAAAAAUCGGAAAAUGUCGCCGAUAUUUCGUCGAAAUAUCGGUUAUCGUGCGGCAUGGAAACGAUAAACGGCACCGAUUAUCGAUCGACGGAAAAAUCGGCCAAAAAUCGACAAAAUCGCCGAUAUAUCGGCGAAAUAUCGGUGAAGCACCGAAAAAUCGGAGAAAAAUCGCGAUAUUUCCUACCAGUCCAGCCCGCGCAGUUGUGUUUUUCAGCCUGACUCAAAAAUCGUGGAUUUAGGGUUCGUGAAAUUUAAAUCCAAUGGCACAACAGCAAAGAGACCCCUAAAACAGAUCCAGAAAACACAGGGAGCAAAAGAAAAGCAAUUUUUUUGGUUUUCUUUGGGAGUUUUGAAUGGAUUUUCUCGGAAAUCAAACGAGGAUGAAUUUUCCCGGAAAUCGAAUGGGGAUGGAUUUUCUUGGGAAUCAAACGGGGGUUGCAAAAAAAAAAAUAAUAAUAACAUGAUUAGAUUAGUACCUGCGAGGAUUGAGAUUUGAGAGUAGCAGAGGAAAAUAGGGCUUUUUAGGGAUUCUCUCGCUGGAAGACACCUUCAGAAAAGGGUUCUUGAUGCCCGAGAGAGAAGUGGGUGCCUUUUUUAUUUUUUUUUAUUUUUAGAUUUAGGGGAGAUAAAAAAAUAAAAAAUAAAAAAUAAAAAAAACAUGAGAACAAUUUUCUAUAAAUAAUUAUUAAUUUUCAACUUUUAUUUGGAUUAUUAAAUAAAUUUAUAUUAAUAAAAAAAGUUGUUAUCACAUUUUUUAAUAAAUUUUAAAAAUUAAAUCUCAAAUAAGAUAUUUUAUAUAAAUUAAUUUAAUUUAUCAUUUAAAAUAUAAUAAAAUAUGUAAAAAAAUCAUGAGAACAAUUUUCCACUCUCUAUAUAAAUAAUUAUUAAUUAUCAACCUUUAUUUUUAUUAUUAAAUAAAUUAAUAUUAAUAGAAAAAGUUAUUAUCACAUAUUUUUAAUAAAAUUUUAAAAAUUAAAUCUCAAAUAAGAUAUUUUAUAUAAAUUAAUUUAAUUUUUCAUUUAAAAUAUAAUAAAAUAUGUUUUAAUAAAAAUAUUUUAAAAUUUUGAAAAUAAAUACUGUCUUCAACAAGAUGAACUCCCUUCAUCUAAUAAUAUAUUGAAACUACAUCGAUAUCUUUCUUAGUAUAAGGACUAUUGCAAUAUCAUAUUUCUUAACUCAAUUUUAACUUUAUACGCUUUCAAAAUUCAUAUAUAUUAUUUUUAAAAUUCAAAUAUCGAAUCUACCAAUAUAUCUCUAUUUACGAUAUUUUUUUUCUUAAUUAUAUAUAUAUAUCAAUUACACUUACAAGAUAACUUUAAAAUGUGUAUUCUUACUUAUGUUAUCAUUUUUUGAAGUUUUUCAAGAAUUCCUAUUAAUUUUAAAUAAUUUUCACUCCACCGAUAUUUAUGAAAAAAUAUCCACCGAUAUUUCUCCGAUAUUUCCGAUAUAUCCGUAAAAUUGAAGUACCGAUAUAUCCGUAAAAACCGAUAUUUCAAUCCUUGUAUAAGAUUGGGUUUUNNNNNNNNNNNNNNNNNNNNNNNNNNNNNNNNNNNNNNNNNNNNNNNNNNNNNNNNNNNNNNNNNNNNNNNNNNNNNNNNNNNNNNNNNNNNNNNNNNNNGAACCAAAACACAGGUCUUACAAAAUUUGUUGGCUGUGGACUGUAGCGUACUACUGUUAGUCGUUGAAGACUUUUAGGGAACCCUGUAGGUACGGACGCCCUGUAGGAGUGACGCUGGGAUUGAUAGACUAAGAGGAGAGACCAAAAAUCCUAUAUUUUUCAUGGGAGAAUUGAUGGAAAAUAUGAGUCAUACUCGGCUGUAUGACGUUGCAUUGGCCCACCAACCGCCCUAAUUGCGUUGGCCCUUGGAAUAUUGGAAGCCGAUCUGCCACGUGGAGACUGGAGUCUGGGGUAGCGAUUUGGAGUGUGACCCAGAGACGUAACCUUGUUUCACAAUGUAAAUUCAGUGAAAAUUUUCAUCUCCUACCAUGUUCUUAGUGAUUAAUUUUAACCAUCAGAAUUUUCCAAUUCCUUUUGGAACAUCGUAAAAGGUUUUUUCAUUUCAUAUGGGAAAAUUAUAAGGUUGGAAUACGUUUUUUUUUUUUUUUUCAAUUUGCUGAAGAUGUCAAUAAAGGCCAAUUUUUGUUUUUUUUCCAAUUUGCCUCUCUCGUUAGGGGCCACAUGGCAGCAGGCGAGAGGGCGGAGAGAGCCAGCUAGUACCGUCGAAUUUGGGCCGGUCAUUGCCCCACCAUUGGGCUAAAGCCCCUGACAAUGACAACUCGUGUUUGUUUCAAGGCUACCCCUGAACUAACCUGCUGGCACCGCCACCGGUGGCGGAGACCCCCCCUUCCAACCCCACCUACAAUUGUGACAUUUUCCUCGUGUCAAACUCAAAAACCCCGUUCCAUCAUUCUCAAAAACCCCGUUUUGCAUUUCACAUACUGUAAACAACCAAAUACAUCCCAACGGUUCAACCCUCUUUCUCUCUCGGGGACUGAUAUAAGAUUGGGUUUUGAAGAGUCAAAGUAUUCCAUAUUAACGAUUUUCAAUCUCUCGAUUUAUCAAGAUUAAUAAUAUCUUCUAUGAGGAUCUCAAGAGGCCUCUCUCUUUGAUCUUUUUCUAGCACAAAAGAACAAAACCUUAGACCAUUUGUGAGACAAUCCCAUUGAUGACAGGAACUUCUCUGAAAAAUCUUUCAUAAGUAAAUUCUUCAUCAAAUACAAAAACUCUAGGAAAUUCAAGUGUCAUUUUUACCAACCUUUUUCUCAGCACACCAAACAGAUCGUGUAGAAAUAGCCUACUCCAAGGGGGAAAAAAAGAUGUAAUGGCGUUUGGAGGCGGGUUCGUGGAUAGGUAAAAUGGGGAGCUAGGGGAGGAAAAAACACAUCCCGAAGACAACCCAAGAAGCACAAAACCCGUACUAUGAUGCCAUCAUUUUCCCGAGAAAACACGGAAAAAUUUGUUGUAUAGGGCUGGAAUAGCAGGGCACCCUGUAGAGAACCUACAAGUUUUUCAGAGCCACAGAAUGAAAUGACUUUGCAUUCAGCCCUUGCAGCCAUUCAACAAAACUGAAACCCUAAAUUUUCGCCAAAAAAUCUCAAAAAGUAACAAAUCUUCGUCGUAAGUCUUCACAAAAGAAGCUCACAGACCCUAUUCCUAACCCUAUUGGGUGAGAGACUGAGAGAGGCUCUCCCCAAAGUUGUGCCCUAAAUUUAG